rnacentral:rRNA from 1 species
UACGAAGGGGGGCUAGCGUUGCUCGGAAUUACUGGGCGUAAAGGGCGCGUAGGCGGAUACUUAAGUCGGGGGUGAAAGCCCGGGGCUCAACCUCGGAAUUGCCUUCGAUACUGGGUAUCUUGAGUUCGGGAGAGGUGAGUGGAAUGCCGAGUGUAGAGGUGAAAUUCGUAGAUAUUCGGCGGAACACCAGUGGCGAAGGCGACUCACUGGACACGUAUUGACGCUGAGGUGCGAAAGCGUGGGGAGCAAACAGGG